ensembl:lncRNA
CAGGAGUGGAAGGACAAACUUCCCCGUCUGCCUGCCCCCGGGGUGGGACGUCUUUUCCGUGCAGCCCGUGUUUCCCAGCAGGCUCCUGUGGGCUGAGCCCCGGCUGUCGUCAGCGGUACCCUGCUCAUGAAAGUGCUUCGGAUUCUCUUCCCUUCACUCCUCUCUUGCUACCUCCUAGCAUCACAUUUUACUCUUCAGACACACCAUUUGCAAACUCAAAUCCCUAAGUUCUGGAGGAACCUCAUCUAAGUGAGUAGGUCCUAGAGGUGAGGUAAUAAAGGAGACUCUCAGAACGAGAUUCUAGAAUUGGAUCUCUUGUUGGUCAGAUGACAACUAAGACCCUGUUACUGCUGGGUUUCACAUCAGGGAUUGGUUGGUUACCGCUGGACACGCUGCUGAAGGAAUGUUUGCUGAAGGAACGUGAUGAGGAUUGGAUGACGUCAUGAAGGUGGAGCCCUCAUGAAUGGGGUCAGUGCCCUUUACAGUUAGGAGAGAGGUGGCUGCCCUCUGCUUCCCAUUAUGUGAGGACACAAGGUAUCAGCAGUCUGAGACCUGGAAGAUCCUCCCCUGACCAUGCUGGCACCCCGAUCUCAAGCUUCAAGUCUCCAGAACUGUGGGGAAUAAAUUUCUGUUGCUUAUAAGCCACCUAGUCUAUGGUGAUUUGUUAUAGCAGACGGAAC